rnacentral:rRNA from 1 species
UCGGGAAUUUUGGGCAAUGGGCGAAAGCCUGACCCAGCAACGCCGCGUGAAGGAUGAAGUAUUUCGGUAUGUAAACUUCGAAAGAAUAGGAAGAAUAAAUGACGGUACUAUUUAUAAGGUCCGGCUAACUACGUGCCAGCAGCCGCGGUAAUACGUAGGGACCAAGCGUUGUUCGGAUUUACUGGGCGUAAAGGGCGCGUAGGCGGCAUGACAAGUCACUUGUGAAAUCUCUGGGCUUAACCCAGAACGGCCAAGUGAUGCUGUCGCGCUAGAGUGCAGAAGGGGCAAUCGGAAUUCUUGGUGUAGCGGUGAAAUGCGUAGAUAUCAAGAGGAACACCUGAGGCGAAGGCGGUUGCUGGGCUGAUACUGACGCUGAGGCGCGAAAGCUAGGGUAGCAAACGGGAUUAGAUACCCGUGUAGUCCCUGAGCGGGCUGGCAAGGCGCAU